GACGGAACGCUGGACGGCGUGCCUAAUACAUGCAAGUAGAACGCUGAGGACUGGUGCUUGCACUGGUCUAAGGAGUUGCGAACGGGUGAGUAACGCGUAGGUAACCUACCUCAUAGCGGGGGAUAACUAUUGGAAACGAUAGCUAAUACCGCAUGACAAUAGGGUACACAUGUACCCUAUUUAAAAGGGGCAAAUGCUUCACUAUGAGAUGGACCUGCGUUGUAUUAGCUAGUUGGUAAGGUAACGGCUUACCAAGGCGACGAUACAUAGCCGACCUGAGAGGGUGAUCGGCCACACUGGGACUGAGACACGGCCCAG
rnacentral:rRNA from 1 species